rnacentral:lncRNA from 1 species
GGCAGGCCAGGGCACUUCCGGGACCGGGGAACUGUGGGAUCACGGCGGACUGAGACUGGCGGCGUUCCUGUCACGUCAGGUGUCUCCCGGGCAACGCAGUAUCCCGGCGGCCCCGCGUGGCCUCAGCGCGUCCUUAGGAUGGGCGGGGCCUCUUCCCUCCCCAAGGCGCGCCCCGCACUGAGGACCCCGAGGUUGGGGUAGGGUCUGGCCUCCAGCAGGACGCCCGGAUGAAAGUCAGCCCUGCGGCGUCGCCAACCGCAGCCCACAGCCUCCGCGGGCAGCGCAGCGGCGACCUCUCAGCUCCCGGGGCCCCCUCGGUCAGUGGCAGCGGGUGUCCCCGGCCACGGGGGCGACGUGAUCCCAGCUGGCGAGUGGCGAUGUCGCCAAGGACAUUCGUAGGACGGGACAGUGCCCACUCGAUAGAAAUUCCCCGUGCGCCGGGCUCUGCGCAGAAGCUUUUCGAGGUGACUGCAGCCUCCUUAUGGGGAGAAACGUCUUUUUUUUUUUUUUUUUUUUUUUUGAGACGGAGUCUUACUUGUUGCCCAGGCUGGAGUGCAACGGCGCGAUCUCGGCUCACUGCAACCCCGCCUGCUGGGUUCAAGCGAUUCUCCUGUCUCAGCCUCCCGAGUAGCUGGGAUUACAGGCGCCCGCCACCACGCCCAGCUAAUUUUUGUAUUUUUAGUGGAGACGAGGUUUCACCAUGUUGGCCAGGCUGGUCUCGAACUCUUGACCUCGUGAUCCGCCCGCCUCGGCCUCCCAAAGUGCUGGGAUGACAGGCGUGAGCUACUGCGCCCGGCCAGAAACGUUUUUUUAAAGCCAGAUGACGCAGCGCCCUGGAGCUGGGGAGACGUUUACUGAGGUUGAAUAUCCGGGAUCUAAGUCCUGAAUAGUCCACCAUUGAUAAGUUGUGUGACUUGGAACAAAUUACUACCCCGCGUCGAUGUGGAGAGGAUUAAACAUUAACAGCGCGAUGUAAAUUCAAGCUGGUAAUACAGGAAAUAGUGAGGUGCCCAGCCCUUACCCCCACAAAGGAACAAAUAAGCCAGAUCACCGAUCACCCUGUGAAACCACCUUUCCUGCAGACACUGAAAAGAAGGAGGGAAUUGCAGCCCAAGGAGGACCCGCUCCACCAGGUGAACCGGGAAACUCCAGGAGGGAAACGCGUUGGCCCCACUGAACUUUUUUUUGUUGUUGUUAUCAGAGUUGCUCAAAGUAAAAAAUAGGAGCAGUAUGAUUUUUUCUUUUAUUUUUAAUUGACAAAUAAUAAUUAUAUAAACAAUGUAAUUUCUAACAACAAAGGAAUGCUAAAAAAUAUACAUUAAAAAAAGAAAAAAAAGACAAAAUAAAAUAUACAUUGAACCUGGUGCAGUGGCACAGGCCUGCAGCCCCAGCUACUCAGGAGGCUGAGGCAGGGAAUUAUUGACUUUCUGAGAUUGAAUAUCAGGGGUCUAGAUCUCAUCCCACCACUGAGGAUCGCUUGAGCCCAGGAGUUUGAGGCUGCAGUGAGGAAUGAUUCCUUUGCGCCACUGCACUCCAGCCUGGGCCACAAAGGGAGACUCUGUCUCUUAAGUAAACAUAGAAUAUUAUUGAUUCAUAAAAUCAUGAUUUUGAAAAUUAAUGACAUGAAAAAUAUGCACAAUAUAUUUCAGAAAGCAAAAUGUAUAAUUUCAUUUAAAAAAUGCAUAGCAUGGUCCCAGCUUUGUGUGUAUUCUGUGCCAAUAAAGCUCACAGCAAGGAAAUAUUACUUUUCUGCACGUGAUGAAUGUACAUCCUUUGUACAUUUUCCCAAAUGUCUACAAUGAGCCUGUAGUUCUCUCAUGCUCAGAAAAUAUGAAUGCCUUUUUCUAAAAGGAAAAGGUAAUUAUAGCUACUUAUUUUGGACUUUUUUUUUCCUUUAAAAAAUUAAGAUAUUUACAUACAGUAAAAUUUACUCUUGCAAUUUAUGAUGCAGUGAGUUUUGAUAAAUGUGUAUAAACGACUGGGCAUGGUGACUCACGCCUAUAAUCCCAGCACGUGGGGAGGCCGAGGCUGCCAGAUCACUUGAGGUCAGGGGUUCGAGACCAGCCUGGCCAACAUGGUAAAACCCGUCUCUAUCUACUAAAAAUACAAAACGUAGCUGGCCGUGGUGGUGCACAGAAUCACUUGAACCCGAGAGGUGGAGGUUGCAGUGAGCCAAGAUUGCACCAUUGCACUCCAGCCUGGGUGACAGAGCAAGACUCCAUCUCAAAACAAACAAACAAAUAAUAAGAAAACAAUAAUAAAACAAAAUAAAUAAAUGUAUAUAACCAUGUAACUACUACCACAAUCUAGUUAUAGGACAAUUUCAUUCCCCCAAAUUCCCUCUUGCCUCACCCCAUCCACUGGCAACCACUGACUUGAUUUCUGUCCCUAUAGUUUUUGUUUUUGUUUUUGUUUUUUUGAGACGGAGUCUCGCUCUAUCACCCAGGCUGGAGUGCAGUGGUGCAAUCUCAGCUCACUGCAACCUCCGCCUCCCGGGUUCAAGCGAUUCUCCUGCCUCAGCCUCCUGAGUAGCUGGGAUGACAGGCACGUGCCACCACACCUGGCUAAUUUUUGUAUUUUUAGUAGAGACAGGGUUUCAUCAUGUUGCCCAGGAUGGUCUCAAACUCCUGACCUCAGGUGAUCUGCCAGCAUCAGGCUCCCAAAGUGCUGGGGUUACAGGCAUGAGCCACCACGCCUGGCCUGUCCCUAUAGUUUUGAUAUUUCCAGAAUAUCAUAUAGAUGGAAUCAUACAGUAUGACACCUUUUCAGUCUGGCUUCUUUCAUCUGUCAUAAAGUAUCUAAAAUUCAUCCAUGUUGUUGCAUGUAUCUGUGGUUCAUGUCUUCUUGCUGGUAUUCCACUAGAUGAAUACACCACUAUUUGUUUAUCUAGUCCCUGGUUGAAGGACAUAUGGGUUUUUCCAGUUUUUGGCAAUUAUGAAUAAAGCUGCUAUAAACAUUCAUGUACAGAUUUUUGUGUGAACAUAAGUUUUCAUGUCACUUGGGUAAAUAUGUAGAUGUGGGAUUGCUGUGUUAUAUGAUAUGUCUGUGUUUAACUUUCUAAGAAACUGGUAAACUGUUUUCCAAAGUGGCUGUAUCACUUUCACAUUGCUACCAGCAAUGUAUGAGAGUUCUGUUUGCUCAGAGAGCUUAUUUUUAAUGAUGAUAAUAAGAAGGAAAAUUUCCUAGCCCUUACUAUAUGACAGGUACCAUUCGAAGCAUGUUACAUGCAUUGUCUCUUUUAAUUCACACAGCAAUUCUGAGGUUGUUAGUUUUUAUUACUAUACCCAUCUAACAGAUAGGAGAUGAAGAUCUAGUUAAAACAAGCAACAAAAUAAAAAUUUGCCUAAGGCCGUAUACCUAAGUCUUCCUGCCGUUCAUUAAGCUAGUCAAUACAUUUAUUGAACACCUGUUCCUGUUAGCGACAGGUACUCAAGCUAGGUGCCGGGAAUUCAGCAGUGAACAAAAUAGACCCCAUGCUUGCCUCUACAGAGCUAUUUCUAUGUAUGAAAAGGGCAUUUGUACAAAUAAACAUAUAAUUGUGAUAGAUCCGAUAAAAGAGAAGUAAAGCACAUGUUGAGAGACUAUAUGGUUAGAGUUCUGAUUGGAUUAGGGGUCAGGAAAGCCUUUUCUUUCUUUUUCUUUUUCUUUUUUUCUUUUUUUUUUUUUUUUUUGAGACAGAGUUUCUCUCUUGUUGCCCAGGCUGGAGUGCAAUGGCGCGACCUCGGCUCACCGCAACCUCCGCCUCCUGGAUUCAAGUGAUUCGCCUGCCUCAGCCUCCUGAGUAGCUGGGAUUACAGGCAUACGCCACCACACCCGGCUAAUUUUUGUAUUUUUAGUAGAGACGGGGUUUCUCCAUGUUGGCCAUGCUGGUCUUGAACUCCUGACCUCAGGUGAUCCGCCUGCCUUGACCUCCCUAACUGCUGGGAUUACGGGUGUGAGCCAUCAAGCCCGGCCAGGAAAGGCUUUUCUGAGGAAGUGAUUUUUAAGCUGAAGCCAAGGGUUGGAAGUGAAGAUAACACAUAGAUAAAAGGAACAGAAUGUGCAAAAGCCAUGAGUAUGAAAAGAGUCGGCCAGGGUGAUGGAAGUUUGAAAGCCCAAGGGAGAGUGAUACACGAGGAAGCUGGAGAAAUGGGCACUGCCGGACGGUGAAGGAUCUGGAAGGUCUUCUUGAAGGAAUGGGAAGCCUCUGACGGACUGUAAGCAGAGGAGGGGCAUGACCAGGUUUACCAUGCCUGCCAUCAGCCCUGGUCUCUCUGUUUUUUGUUUUUUGUUUUUUUCUUUGCCUCUGAGCUUCCCAUAUUGUUGUGGAGAAUCAUGAAACCAGGGUGACCAUGUUCAGCACAAAUUCCUGUUGCCUUAUUUCCACUGAUUCUCAUUGUCCUUCUCAGCAUCCAUUGUCCGUUCUCAAUGGCACUCUCCCGUGACCCAAAACCUUUGCCUCCUCUGGAGCUCCCAACUCCAUGAUACCCCUUCUCCCUCUUUGCAGAUAAGCUACUAAUAAUAUAAGUUUGAGUUUAGGAGAGUUAUGCAGUACAAAGAAGUAAAGGAAGUUAAAAGAGCAGAGAGAUAGGUUGACACACUGGGUUUUAAAAAACUUCUUUAAGUAAUAACAGACUAGAUUGAUUCAUUUAUGUCAAACAAAAGAAGGAAAUACCUUUGACAGGAGGUGGAAAUCUAGAAAGAGAUUGUAUACUUCUGACAGAAAUAAAAUGUGGAAGUUUAUGGAUAUGAGAAAUUUGGGUAUGAAAAUAAGGAGCACGUGAUAUUUUCACAAAUGAGCUGGGCUCAAAAAAAACAACUUCCAGGCUGGGCACGGUGGCUCACGCCUGUAAUCCCAGCACUCUGGGAGGCCGAGGUGGGUGGAUCACCUGAGGUGGGGAGUUCGAGACCAGCCUGACCAACAUGGACAAACCCUGUCUCUACUAAAAAUACAAAAUUAGUCUGGCAUGGUGGCGCAUGCUGGCGCAUGCCUGUAAUCCCAACUACUCAGGAGGCUGAGGCAGGAGAAUCACUUGAACCCGGGAGGUGGAGGUUGCAGUGAGCCAAGAUUGUGUCACUGCACUACAGCUUUGGUGACAAAGCAAGUCUCCAUCUCAAUAAAUAAAUAAAAUACAUACAUACAUACAUACAUACAUACAUACAUACAUACAAAAAAUUAGCUGGGUGUGGUG